rnacentral:rRNA from 1 species
UACGAAGGGGGCUAGCGUUGCUCGGAAUUACUGGGCGUAAAGGGCGCGUAGGCGGCUUGGCAAGUGGAUGGUGAAAUCCCUCGGCUUAACCGAGGAACUGCCAUCCAGACUGCUUUGCUUAGGCCGGGAGAGGUGAGUGGAAUUCCCAGUGUAGCGGUGAAAUGCGUAGAUAUUGGGAGGAACACCAGUGGCGAAGGCGGCUCACUGGACCGGUUCUGACGCUGAGGCGCGAAAAGCGUGGGGGAGCAAAACAGGG